AGUGAACGCUGGCGGUAGGCCUAACACAUGCAAGUCGAACGGAAGCACGGUAAGAGCUUGCUCUUACGGGUGGCGAGUGGCGGACGGGUGAGGAAUACAUCGGAAUCUACUUUUUCGUGGGGGAUAACGUAGGGAAACUUACGCUAAUACCGCAUACGACCUACGGGUGAAAGCAGGGGAUCUUCGGACCUUGCGCGAUUGAAUGAGCCGAUGUCGGAUUAGCUAGUUGGCGGGGUAAAGGCCCACCAAGGCGACGAUCCGUAGCUGGUCUGAGAGGAUGAUCAGCCACACUGGAACUGAGACACGGUCCAGACUCCUACGGGAGGCAGCAGUGGGGAAUAUUGGACAAUGGGCGCAAGCCUGAUCCAGCCAUACCGCGUGGGUGAAGAAGGCCUUCGGGUUGUAAAACCCUUUUGUUGGGAAAGAAAAGCAGCAGGUUAAUACCCCGCUGUUCUGACGGUACCCAAAGAAUAAGCACCGGCUAACUUCGUG
rnacentral:rRNA from 1 species